GAGCCAAUGGCACAACGGUUAGUGCGCUUGCUUUAGUUACUCGAUAUUUGUAUGAUUUAAGCAAGAGGUCCUCGUUCGAUCCGGGGUUAGGUCA